AGUGAACGCUGGCGGUAGGCCUAACACAUGCAAGUCGAACGGCAGCACAUUAAGAGCUUGCUCUUACGGGUGGCGAGUGGCGGACGGGUGAGGAAUACAUCGGAUUCUACUUUUUCGUGGGGGACAACGUAGGGCAACUUACGCUAAUACCUCAUACGACUUACGGGUGAAAGCAGGGGAUCUUCGGACCUUGCCCGCACGCAUGAGCCGACGUCCGAUUAGCCAGUUGGCGGGGUAAAGGCCCACCAAGGCGACGAUCCGUAGCUGGUCUGAGAGGAUGAUCAGCAACACUGGAACUGAGAAACGGUCCAGACUCCUACGGGGGGCAGCAGUGGGGAAUAUUGGACAAUGGGCGCAGUCCUGAUCCAGCCAGACCGCGUGGGUGAAGAAGGCCUUCGGGUGGUAAAGCCCUUUUGUUGGGAAAGAAAAGCGGCAGGUUAAUACCCCGAUGUUCUGACGGUACCCAAAGAGUAAGCAACGGCUAACUUCGUG
rnacentral:rRNA from 1 species